rnacentral:rRNA from 1 species
UUGGAGGGCAAGUCUGGUGCCAGCAGCCGCGGUAAUUCCAGCUCCAAUAGCGUAUAUUAAAGUUGUUGCAGUUAAAAAGCUCGUAGUUGAAUUUCAGGGUUUGUCUAUCGGUCGGGCUUCACUGUCCGCACUGAUUUGAUGGAUCCUUACCUUCUGAAUAACCAUCAUGCCAUUAAUUUGGUGCGUUGGGGAAGCAGAGCUAUUACCUUGAAAAAAUUAGAGUGCUUAAAGCAGGCCAGUGCUUGAAUAGAUUAGCAUGGAAUAAUAAAAUAGGACGGCAUGGUUCUAUUUUGUUGGUUUCUAGGAUCACCGUAAUGAUUAAUAGGGAUAGUUGGGGGCAUUAGUAUUCAAUUGUCAGAGGUGAAAUUCUUGGAUUUAUUGAAGACUAACUACUGCGAAAGCAUUUGCCAAGGAUGUUUUCAUUAAUCAAGAACGAAAGUUAGGGGAUCGAAGACGAUCAGAUACCGUCGUAGUCUUAACCAUAAACUAUGCCGACUAGGGAUCGACGAGUAUAAU